UGACAGCCCUAGAAAUUGAACUUCUUUAUUUAUUGACAGCCUACAUACAGCAUAGACACUGCAAGUGUCUUUCACUGCUAAACCAACAUACUUUUUACCUGGAAGGAAGAAACUAUUUUUCUGGAGGCGAUAGAAUUUAUUCACCAUAUCCAGUUUUCUUUGGAUUAU
rnacentral:sRNA from 1 species